rnacentral:misc_RNA from 1 species
GAUGAAGAACGUAGCGAAAUGCGAUAAGUAAUGUGAAUUGCAGAAUUCAGUGAAUCAUCGAAUCUUUGAACGCACAUUGCGCCCGCUAGUAUUCUGGCGGGCAUGCCUGUCCGAGCGUCAUUUCAACCCUCAAGCCCCCGGGCUUGGUGUUGGGGAUCGGCGAGCCUCCGCGCCCGCCGUCCCCUAAAUCUAGUGGCGGUCUCGCUGUAGCUUCCUCUGCGUAGUAGCACACCUCGCACUGGGAAACAGCGCGGCCACGCCGUUAAACCCCCAACUUCUGAACGUUUGACCUCGGAUUAGGUAGGAAUACCCGCUGAACUUAAGCAUAUCAAUAAGCGGAGGA